rnacentral:misc_RNA from 1 species
UGGCACUACUGGCAGUUCAUCGGUGACCGACCGCAGUCGGCGCGCAGCUGCUCGCUGGCGUUGGACGUGCGAGGAGUCUGGCGAAGCUGCGUUCGUGUUACCGACGAAACGAGCAUCCGAGUGGCGGCGGCCGCGCGAGGGGACACGGCGUAUAGCGCAGCGCGGCGAACCGAAAUGGCUAAUUGCUGGUGCGAUCAGGUCGAUUGGUGUAGCAGGCGAUACCUGCCGCUUCGUACUUCGCUGCUGGCGUAUGAGGACGAGCGCCUGUGGUGGUAGGUGCUGGUCUGCCCCGUCCCCCUCUCUCUACCCGCGGCGCCCUGAGAGAACCAUCACGGAGAAGCAUGGCUUCUGGUGCAUCCUCCUUGGAUAGUGCUGGGAGUAGUGAUGGUGCACUUAAUAUGGAGGGAGAUAGUGGAAGCUAUGGCAGUGUCGGAAGCCCGGUUGGAGGCCCCGAGUGUCGUAGCGAUUAUGACGGUUUGCAGGCUCAGUGCGAUCAAGCGAUGCAUCAGCUUCAGCUACUUAGAGUUAAACACUCUGAUACCAUCAGACGGUGCGAGCAUACUAUGAAGGAGUUGGAAUACUAUCGAGCGCAACAUAUAGCAGUCAUGAGUCAACUAGAAGCUACAUCGCAAGAAAGCUCUGCGUUACGAGCAAAAUAUAGCGAUCUAGUGAACGAUAAGCAACGACUAGAGCGAGAUGUUCAGACACUGCAACAGGAGCUAUCGGAAUUGCAGCGCCUACAGAACCAGGAGGUUCUUGUGUCCGAUGCUGCUAGCAAUGAUACUAUGAAUCAGCAUUAUCUAUCUGCAUUGCGAAAAUACGAAGCCAUUAAGGACGAAUACGAUUCCCUUCGAAAGCGAUACGACGACUUGAUAUCGACUCAUUCAGCUGCCGUUAAUAAGCUCGAGUUAUCGCAAGAGGAAGGCAAAAGACUCAAGAAGCAAUACGACACCGUCUUGGACGAACGUAAUACCGCGAUCCGCGAGCGUAACGGUUUGAAGCAACAGUGUACUGCCGCGAUUCGUCAGUGGGACAUUGCUCUGAGAGAGAGAAACGAGUAUCGCGAGGCGCUCGCCAAGGUGCAGCAGCAGCACGAGGAGGCGGUCAAAGAGAUUAAUCAGGCGAUGGUCUUGCGCAUGAAGACCAGCAAGGACAUGAAACGACUCACGGAAGAGCGAAAUGCAGCGCUGCAAGAGUACAGCUUAAUUAUGGGCGAACGAGACACGGUGCAUAAGGAGAUAGAGAAGCUGGGCGACGACCUUGCGCAGGCGUAUGCGAAGAUUACGCACUUGGAGACGCAAAAUAAGCAGCUCAUCGAUGAGAAGAAGACGUUAUCUUAUCAAAUCGAGACGUUGAAGAGAGAAAUUUCGUCCGCUCUGCAAGACAGAGACGAUGCUCUGAAAAUGUGCAAUGAGCUACGGCAGAAAUUCGGCGAUUACUCCGAAGGCUCCAACAGAGACUAUAAGCAUCACUUGGAGUUGCAUUCCUUCAGUCGCGAGCAUAACAGUGCCAAUAAGGAAGCUGAGAAGGAAACGAACACGAACAACCCGACGCGAGACAAGGAGCAUAUGGACAAUCUCGAGCAGGCCAACCUGGAAUUGGAUAAGCUCAGGAAAUCCGUGGACACGCUGCAAACGGAGCUCGAGGAAGCGAUUCAGGAGGCCGAGGUGUCGAAGAGGAGAAGGGACUGGGCGUUCAGCGAGCGCGACAAGAUAGUGCUGGAGCGGGAGAGCAUAAGGACCCUGUGCGACAGACUGCGGAAGGAGCGCGACCGCGCGGUUUCCGAAUUGGCCGGCGCUCUACGCGACUCCGAUGACAUUAAGAAGCAACGGAACGAGGCGUCGAAGGAGCUGAAGGACUUGAAGGAGAAGAUAGAGUUCGGCGAUCAUGCGUUACGGGCGAGUCAGGUGGCGCAGAUCGACGAGAGCAGUGAUUGGGAGAUGAUUCCGAUUCACGUGGAGCCAGGCAGACUCUGCCUGGACUCGGAUCGCGGUGACCUGGGAUUAAUCCUCGUCGGUGGUCGCGACAAUCCGUACUAUCCGAACGAUAGCGGCGUCUACGUAGCGCAGGUGGCGCAGGGCAGCGCCCUCGAUGGCAAGUUAAGAGUGAACGAUUGCAUAGUGCGAGUGAACAACGUCGAUUGUACGUCUGCAUCGACGCGCGUGAUCUUGGAGACGCUGCGCUCAUCCACCGUGAACCCGGCGACCUUGAUCGUAAAGCGGCGCCGAGUAACCAGGCGAUCAUUGAGAACCACGCAACUGUCGGUCGGUACGGUGCCGCACGGUAUUACUUUGGAACUCGGGAUCUACAUCUCAAAGAUAUCACCCGGGAGUCUGGCCGCUAAGGACGGGAACCUCGCCGUGGGGGACAGAGUAUUAAAUAUUAACAGCAAACCGAUGGAUACGAUAACUUCGGUGCACGAAGCAAUGGCCAUCUUAAAUGACGACACUGUAGACGUGUUGACAAUUACGACGCUAAAGGGUAUCCCGGUACCUUCCGCCUCCAGUUCGGAAACGAUGACGAUAGACGGCAGUUUUGUCACGGAGAAGCAGAAGAUGGUGAACAGUUGCUCGCAAACCGAGCAGGAAAGAAUAAUGCUAAAGACGUCAUCGGAUGAUUACGAGAGACGAUACCUGUCGACGAACUUUGCUGAUCGAAAUACUUACAAAGCUUCCAAGUCCGUGAGCGGGGAGAAGUCGAGCGGCAUCAGCAACGCUUGGGACAACAUCCGGGAGAAGAUCGACAUGGUGCGUGGUCGUAAGCACAGCAAAGAACGCGACGACAAGAAAAAGAGCCACCGUAACUCUAGUCCAAACACAUUCGAGCAGGAACAGGACGCGAUAGCGGAGCUCGACUCGGUGAUCGAUAGCUACCACAAGAAGGCGAGUAACAACGGCGUCCUGAAGCGCAGCAAGCGUCGUGGAACUGAGAAAGUGGAGAAGAACGGCGGCACCUGGCCGAAGGCACGCGGCGGACCCCUCAUACAAAACGGGACCGGUACUAUAUUACACCCGCGCAAAGCAAAAGAGCGUUUCCCUCUCAGUGUACUCCUGCAUCCACCGAAAUACGAUAACUGUAGUUACAAUCGUAUCUCCAACCCUAUCCCCUUGACCAACUUUUCUAAUGUCAAUAAUCGUCAUACCGUUUACAAAGCAGUGGAGACGCCGCUACCGAGCUUCACCAAGACCGGACAGAUCUUUACUCAGAAGUCGUUUACGCCGGCAGUACAAUUCAAAGACAUCCCGAUCGACGGUAGCAAGAAACCACCGUCGACCGAGUUCGAAACCGGCUCGGCGGAAGCUGGACGACUCGGCUCCGCGUUGGCGCCGUCCGAGACCAGCAUCGACUUCUCGGUGAAGUCCGGCGGCGCCAGCCGCGACAUUGACUCGUACUUCACGAAUAAACGGCCGCAGAAGUACAUACCUGGCGGUAGCAGCGACACGCAAGUAACCACGGACAUGCUGCAGCACAACCGCGCGCACUCGCAGCUCUACUCGUCGGGUAUCGGCGGCUCGUCCACGUCCGCCGCGUCGUCGACCAGUGGCCCGACGCCGCGCCAGCAGAUAGCAGCUGGUAACUUUCCUUUUCCCUCGCAUCAUUCGUACGCUGCGUCACACUUGCACCAUCCACAUCCGCAUCCCACACAGCACCAAAACUCCCUGCCCUCACGCUACCCCUCGCCGCCGUCGCUACCGUCCGCGCUGUCCGGCGAGUCGAUAGGUCUGCCCGACGCACGUUCCUACUGUUUCGAGCCUCCGUACAGCCCCGGACCUUCACAGUCGACUGUGGCCACCUUCGGCCAUCUGCACACUCCCUCCGUAGACCUGCACUAUCACAAGUCGCGUGCUCUUCCGCUCGGAAUACCCUGCGACUCGACCUGUAGCCACGCAUACGAAGGCGGCACCCUGCCAGGCAGAAAGGAGGAUCAGCGUAUACGCAUACCAUCCAACACCAGCGUCACGUCGAAGAGCAGCGUUGGCAAGCUGUCCACCGGCAGCAUAGAGAGGACUUCCGAGCGCGGUAGCCCCAUGCCGACGUUUCACGUGGAAGUGUUGAGCCCGGGCACCGGCAGCACCAGCGGCAUCAGUAGUGCCGGCGGUACUGUGAGAGGAAGUAGCGGUAACAAGCGCGCUAGCAUGCCGGAUUAUUGUUUCACAAAACCACGUCCAGCACCUGGGGAACUACGUAGAGUGCACAUAGACAAGUCCGUGGAGCCGUUAGGUAUUCAGAUCUCGUGCCUGGAGAGCGGUGGCGUGUUCGUCUCCACCGUGUAUGAGCACAGUCUGGCGUCACAGGUCGGCCUGCAGAUCGGCGAUCAGCUGUUAGAAGUGUGCGGUAUCAACAUGCGGAGCGCGACCUAUCAGCUGGCCGCCAACGUUUUGCGUCAGUGUGGUAAUUCGAUUACGAUGCUGGUGCAGUACAGCCCUGAAAAAUACACCGAGCUAGAAGGCUCGGCAUCUUCAAGCUCGUCCGAAGCCGGCGACAGGGCCGCGGCCGGAAGUCGCAGUGGCUCACCAACACCGUGCAACAGUCCGGCAGCACCCCGUAAAAGUACGGUCGACACGUUGGAGCCUGCCGAGCCGGAACGUGAUGCCACUAUAACCAUUACCACUACUGUCGCUACGGUCACCACCACUGCUGCAACUACGAUGAGCUCGCUACGCGUCGAACGAGAUAUGCGGCCGUCCGCCUCGUUGGACGUAAGGAGUACGCAGGAGCGGGAGCGUGAGAUGAGACCCUCUGCUUCUCUGGACAUCAACAUCCGCAAGCCGGAACUCCGUAGUGCUGCUACGUUGGAUCGAUUGACCCGGGCGCAGAUGCAACGGCAGAAUGCGAUGAGAAGUCCCACGCAGGAGGACCAGAGAAAACCACCGCCGGCCGGCGAGCCCAGGUAUCUGCUGAUCGAGACUAGGAAGUGCUCGAAUCUAGGCAUAUCUCUGGUUGGUGGGAACGGCGUCGGUAUCUUCGUGCAUACCGUUCAGCCGGGCAGUCUCGCCGAAGAGGGCGGCAUGUUCGCCGGCGACAGGAUCCUCGAGUACAAUGGUGUAGAUCUGAGGCAAGCUACUGCCGAACAAGCUGCGCUCGAACUAGCACGGCCGGUGGACAAGGUGACGAUGGUCACUCAAUUUAUGCCCGAUAGGUAUAAUGAGGUGAAGGACAAACCGGGCGACAGUUUCUACGUGAAGGCGCUGUUCGACCGAACUGGCGAGGUAGGCGACAGUCUGCAGCUCAGAUUCAGCAAGGACGACAUUCUCUAUGUGGAUAACACCAUGUUCAAUGGCACGCCUGGUCAUUGGCGCGCCUGGAUAGUCGAUCCGACCGGUCGUAAGCAGACUUGCGGAAUAAUCCCCAGCAAAUUCAAAAUUGAGGAAGAAUUGCUUCUACGUCGGUCUUUAGGCGAUUUAGAACAGGAUGCUGGCAAACGCAGCAAUACCAGCGCAAGGAGGAGCUUCUUCCGUCGAAAGAAGCAGCAGCAACGAUCGUCCAGCAGUAGAGACAGCAAGGAACUGCAUCUCACGGGAGUUAACUUGGGAUGGUACAGCGACAGCGGAACAUUAAACGAAGACAAUCUUCCGGCAAGUUAUCAACGCGUCGAAAGACUUGAAUAUCCCACUCUCAGACCGGUGCUAAUCAUUGGCCCGCUCAGCGAAUCCGUAGGGACGAAAAUUCUGCAAGAAUACCCAGCACAGUUUACCAGAUGUCUGGUGGAAGCGAUGCACUGUUCGCACUCGACCUUGGAGCAAGGUAUACGUGAAGGAAUUUACGUGGAUUACAGGAAAAAAGGCAGCUACUUUGAGUGCACGACAGUGCAAGCGGUUAAAGAUACAUGCGACAAGCGUACGCACUGUAUUUUGGAUGUGUCGAUCGCUUCCCUCGAAAGGCUUCACAGACAUCAAAUUUAUCCCAUCGUUUUGUUAAUCAAAUUCCGGGAUAGAGCGCAAAUUAAGGAGGUGAAAGAUUCAAGGUACCCGAGCGACAAAAUCAGUACAAAGGCCGCGAAAGAGAUGUUCGAGCAGUCGCUCAAGAUAGAAGCGGAAUAUAGGCAUUACAUUUCUGCCAUUAUUCCAGCGGGCGUGAAUAUGGCAUAUAUAUGCACACAAGUGAAAGCCUCGGUAGACGAUGAACAAAGCAAAGCAAUAUGGGUUCCUAGAGGGGGUCCCUGACAUAAAAGGGGGGGUCCCCACAAGCCGCAGUGGAAAUCGAUCUAAAUUCCACCAGGGGGCCCUUACGUCGUGCAUGUGUGCAGAAAUUGCUACAUGGAAUCAAUUCUUUUAUUUAUGGUCUCUUGAUUUGUCUGAGGGGGGAUACGGUGCGACGAUACACGUAUCCUUCGCUCAACGGAGAAUUGCUAUUUUCGAUCAUGCUAAUCGCUCAAUUUGGUUGUGAUAAUACAAACAAAUUUUUACGAACCAAUUUGUUUAAGCACACGUUAGCUAAUUGUAUCAUUGCAAUCUAGAAGAGUGGACUCUUACUAUCCGCAUCGGUAUGUCUAUAGCUCGUCUGUGAUCACAAAAUUGAUAUAUAAGGACUAUAUAUAAACUAUAUCGAUUACCUCCUUCGCGCUUUUUUCUGAAAUUGGCUCCCUCGAAUGAAAAAUCAUAAGCGACUCACGAAAUUACGGUGCCGUUUAGGUACUCGCUUGUCCUCACUUAUUGACUGUAUCAAACAAUUCGUGUUUAACAGCCAGUUUGCUUCGAUCACGUUAUAUAACGUUAAGCAAUGCAACGGAAAAAUGCAGCUAAGGUUCAUGAAACCACUAAUUCACACGAGACCAUAAGUGGAUCGGUAUAAAAAACACUCGUAUUAUGGCCCGUUUAGAAAAUUGGUGGAUUAAUAUUGAUAAAUCUGCAAGCUAAUUAAUUAGCGGAUAAGUUACGUAGAGCCCAUUUAUCGAUGGCCCUAUAUUAUUAAUAAUUAACCCCUCAGACCAAACUAAUCUGUAUAGAAUAUACAGUUUGCGAAAGAAUUAUUUUAUGUAAAUAGCGAAAUUGUGUACAGAUUAACAUUAUACGUUAUAUUAAGUUUACUUAUUUGUAUAUAAUUUAUUUAGCUUAUGUCUACUAAUUUUCUUAGGUUGUAUCGUGCAGAUUUAAGUUGUAUAUUACUUUAUUUUUUUAACUUUUAGAUUAAAUUGCAGAGGGCACUCUUUGUGCUUACACGGCGCACGUAUUAAACCGGGUUUGAGGGGUUAAGGAAUUACUAAAUUAAGGAAUUGAUAAUACGAGAGAAAAACUGUCAACAGGAAAGAUGGAAUUGACGCGCGCAAUACUCCGUUCCUGUGUUUUUAUCGAACUGUAAAUACCGAAUUGUAAUAUUUGUAGUAGCCAAGCGAAAUCAGCGGGAUCAGCGAAACUAACAUACAUAUACGAUGUAAUCGUGACGAGUAAUCUUUGUAACGAUACGCACGAUUGCUUUCUUACGUCCGAGAUCGGGGUCUUCACGAAUUUAUAUAUAUAUAUAUCACGUUGUCCUUAAACGAGCUUAUAUAUAGGCGCUUCACAUAACGGUGCGGUUAUGCGAAUUCGAUUGUACUGUUAAAAAACGCGUUGUGAAUUGGAGGAUCCGUGUGACACCUGGAAACGGAUAUACACGUGUUUUUGUACAUUAUUUCUUACGUAAUAUUGUUUGUAAAUACGAUUUUUCUACAGUAUCGAGAGAUAUAUAUAUAUAUAUAUAUGAUUUAGGAAAUAUUUUUUAAAUCGGUGUAAUUAAUUUACGAUCGUUUAGUACGUAUGAGUUAACCGUAUCUGUACCUGAAUCGUGAUUUCGUAAUUUGAUAGAUGCAAUAUGGGGAUAGUAAUUUGGAGAUGGUUUCUUUUUUCUUUUUUAUCAAAUAGAAAAAAGACUACACGAAAAUUAUAAAUAUUUUCCUAACGUUAAACUCUAUAAUACUCUCGAAAGAGACUUUCUUCUCUUUGCUUGAAAUCUUCCAAAACCACUGUAAGAAAACAAGCUUUUUAUUACGAAUCUUCUUACGAUGCAAUUAGAUGCAGUUCGGUACUUGUGAUAAUACGAAUAGUAAUCCAUCUAUGCGAACGAGUCGAUUUCGAGUUUUCUGUCACAAGUUAUAUAACGAAGUUGCAUAACAAGUUACAUAACGAUAACGAGUGAGAACGGAAAAUGCAGAGAAACUCAAAACGAGCUUGUUGGUUUCACGCAAAAUUUUGUUUCCCAAUGAGACAAUAUCUAGACAUAAGUUAUUAGCGAGACCAAAAAGUAAAGAAAUACUAACGCUAACUCGUAAAGAUUGUGAUUAAAUUUAUUGGUACUCCGGUAUAGCGUGGCGCAUUUAAUACAGAGAACGAUAGAUAUACUUUUUGAUAUAUUCAGGGAGAGUUCACCCUGUGCAUAAUGUUGUUUCGAAUAUUUUAAGCAUAGCAGCUUGUAUCGAAGGAUGUAUAGGGACCAAACGCAUUGAUUGGUAUUUUCAAAACAGUAAAAAAGAAAGGCAGAAAUCACAAUUUACAUACAGAAAGAGUUUGAAAACGGAUAAAUGUACAGGAAUUUGAAGAAUAAUUAUGGAUAAUUCGUGAUAAUUUAUUUUUCGUGGAACAAAAAUGCUUUAUGUAACAUUUGUUUUUUCUACGAAUUUGAAAAACUGUAUGAUGUAUCAUAAGUUUUCCUCUUGGAAUUGAGAAUUAAAUUAUUUGACAUGACUCUUCUUUUGAUCCAUAAGCUCUUGUUUUUUGAAAUAAUGCUCGUCAUACGGCAAAGGUUCAAUGAAAUUUCAGUAAGACUCGGUUUUUUAGAAAAUCGGGAGAUUUUCUCAAUGGAUUACAAUCGCAGAACAAAGUAAGGAAGGGGAAAAAAAGAGAAAACUAAUGCUAUUACAAUUACUCUCUCAAUCACAGCACUGUGAUACAUAUAGUAUAUUACUCUUUCGAUAACAUAUCAACAAUCCUUUUACUAAUAUAAACUAUACAUACAAAUAUGCGAUAUACAAAACACAUACAUAUUUUGAGCAAUACUUAUAAAUAGAGAUAUAUAUAUAUACGUUAUAUACAGAUAUACGAUAACGCACUUUCAAUAUUUCUCACACAUUAUGAGCACACGAUUUUGAAGAAAAAUUAACUGAACGUUUUGCGAAUAUGUAAAAGAAAAGUAUUCAGCGAUUUUGGGGGAACAAGUCAAAGUCGGCUCGGAUCCGAAUAUAUCAUUAAGCUGUAAUAACUUGAAACUGAUGAAUUUAACGAAUGCAGGCAUACGUAAUGUCUAGCUUAAUCAAACCCGGAGCCUUAAGUUUAGUGUCCAUUUGGGGGGUCACUCUCGGAAGUAAAAGAAUUAAGAGGGCAAGUGACACUCUCCCCAUAAAUAAUAUUUUCUCUAAUGGUAUAUUAGUUAUAUAAUAAUAAGUAUUCUUGAGAAUAAUAGCAUUUCUCCUCAAAUGGACACCAGCCAUUAUCGGCGACCAUCUGGUAAUUUCUACUUGCGGGCAAAAUUUUGUUCCGCGUGUCCCAUGCGUGUACUUCCAUACGUGUUACUCCAAAUUAUCUCGUAUAGAGUUAAGUUUACCGCGUACGAGUUGAAAGCGACGAUCGUGCAGCCGCAUUGUCCGCGCACGGAUCAUCACUAGUCCUCGUUAGUAUUCUCCACUUUUCUAUGAACAACCUGCGUGUCACCCGUGCCACUUUCGAUCGCAUUAAUCAUCCGACAGGUACACGAGAAAUGAUAUCAGCGUUAUCAUCGUUUCUUCUAGCGUGGCUGUCUCACUGCUGUACUAUCUAUCUAUCCUGUCAAUUUUUACCGACUUUAUAUCUAUGUAUUGUCGUAAACGGGCAAGAUGAUACACAUAACUCUCUUCUUUUGCGUAAAAUCUAUGUGCGCGCAAAGAAUCAAGUGUUUUACGAUAUCUACUAGGUAUCAAAGUAUACUGCGGGAAAUUUAUUACUGAUUAUUGGAAAAAGAAUUGUCACCGGUCGCAAAUUAAUGCGAAUUAACAUUGUUAAUUUCCAUCUUCCGAGGAAUUAGAAUUUUCGUAUCGACAAAUGCAUCAUUGUAAUAAAUAUUCUCAUCGCAAACUUUUUUUGUAUAUUUAAUACAUAUUUUCUAUAAUUACUUCAAAUCAUAAUAAUAUUAUGAAGAUUUCAACAGGCACAAAGAAGUAAUUAUAAUCAAAAGGAUGAGGUUUAAUAGUAUUAUGUUUUUUAUCAGUAUUUGGGAUUAAAAGAGAAACAUAAAGAAAUGUUAUGCCUUUUGAUACAAAACUGGUGUAUCGUUUUGCCGGUCGACGGCUCGAUAUAUACUUAUAAGCGAAAAAUACUUGUCUGUAGUUUGAAGUGUGAUAUUAAUCAAUGCAUAAUCUGAAGGUUGACAUGUAUUAAGCAUGCUCAUCGUUUUCGUACGAAACUGUUCUCCAUUGAUAUGAAGAGUUUCACGACUAUCUUAACUUGUUCGUUAAUCGGAUAUGCAGGGUGCGCGUUUAUUUCUCACGUAAUAGUCCCUUGGAUAAAAAAUUAAACCGAUAACCGAGAUACUCAUAGUUAAGAAGAGAAUAUGUACCAUAAUCAUACAGAUAUAUCAUUACUUUUGCAGGCGAAAGUAACGAAAGAUGAAACGGAAAUGCUUUUCUAGCCGCGUGCGAAGAAACGCGGACGAGUUUUCAGUUGAAAUCGUUGAGAGAAAAACAUUCAACAAACACAAAAGAGAUUUGCGAAUAAUGUCUAAAUUGUUAGGAUCUCUCUGAUAAUUUCCAAAUUUUCUUCCGAUAAUUUCCAAACGUUUAUUAUUGUCCGCGUAUUUUUUCCACAAUGUUUUUUUCUGCCGAAAAACAAGAUUUUAAAUAACAUAAAUAUCUGACAGGUUUUAAAUUGUUUCUAACAUAAUCCCGCAGUUACAGUAUAAUUAAAUAUGCCAUACAUAAUUAAAUAUUCUUGUUCGCAUCUUUAUUGUCGACGGAAAAAAGUCAAAUCUGAUUGAUUUCACCUCUCUUCGCGUGCGUGUGUUUUAAACGCAAAUAUUGUCGCAAGUUAUGGGAGGAAAGAAGCAUGGUCGAUUAACUUCGGAGUUUACUUUUUUGCAAAAAUAUUCCGCUCCAGUUAACUUGGUAUGAUGGGGAGAAGCGGUUUGCGCUACGUAAAGCAUCAUCGCGUUAGAAGGCUCGCGUUAUUGGCAAUUAAUAACGGUGGUCGGUAAUCCAAGAAAUGCUGAUUAAAUUGAGAUAACAACAAGUAAAGUAGUAAACCCGCUGCUAUGAAAAACUUCGAUAACAAAGCGUGACAUUUCGCCGAUUUUAUUAAUAAAUGGCCGAUCGUGUAAUGAAAUUUCAAAGGACUGCUCAUGUCGUCGAGUUAUACUGACGACUUUACCGUUCCUGCUAUAAUAAUUAAAAUUGUUAUUCGAUGAUCAGUGUUGUAUGUUUCACAAGCGCAAAGUGUAGUUGAUGAUAUACACAACUACGAGAUUUUAAUAUUAUAAUAAUCAACACAAGUUGCUAUUCAUCAUAAUUCGAUAUUAUUGCUAAAAUUAAAAAAAUCGCACAUAGGCAGGAUUUGAAUGAAUUAUAGACUUAUAAAAAAUCAUUAAGGUCUUUUUAUAACAAUUUGUAUAUAUGUAUAUGUGUGUAUAUAUACGUACAUACAUAAAUAUAUAUAUAUAUAAGCCAUUUAAAGAAAGAGCGUGGAUCAUGAAUUUGUAUGAAUAUCUUAAUAUAUUCAAACAAUUUUAAGAAUAUUUUAUAAUUUAAAUAUUCAUUAUAACUUUUGUUGAUUAAUAUCAGAAAAGUGUGCAAUAAAAAAAUAAAUUUUUUGUGUUUAUUGUAUACUUACAAGGAAUUUUCAAAUUAAUUUUUUAUUAUUUAUUUUUUAUCUGAUUAAUAACUUCUUUGAAAUUGACAGUUACACUAUAAUUAAUAUGUAUAUCAUGAAUUGGACAGUAAAUCUUCUUCGAAAAAAAUAAAAUAUUUUAUUGCACAUUUAUCUUUAAAAAAAGAUUUAAGCAAACAUGUUUUAAUUUAUAUGCGAGUGAUUCAAAUAAUACAGUUACGGAUUGCACUGUUAAACAGAUAAGAAGCGAAAAAGAUGAAGCAUUGGCUGAUAGGCAGCUCAUUAAUACAAUAAGCAAUUUAGAAUUCCUUGAAAAAGUGCAAUGACCGAGACGUAUCACACGAUGUAUACACAAUGCGAGCGGAGACUUGCGAUUGUGCCAAAAAAUAAAUGCAAAUAUUUUUUAUAUGGAUUGGUGUUAUAGUCAGAGAAUAAGCGUUAACUCUCAAAACUUAACGGAACGAAAUUAGUAUAGACAAUCAAGUCGAAAGCAAACUGUUGCGCCGAUACAAACUGCGAAUUGAAUGUAUUUGGCGAUAUUGUUAACAGCAAUUUUUACACUUUGAAAAUGAAACGUCUUUCGCUGAUUAGAAUUGUAGAAUCGCGUCUUCCUCUCUGCCUCUUUUUCUGCCGUACAUCUGGAAAAAAGCAGAAAACUGCCCUUUCUAUUUAGGAAAAAAACUCAGUAAAUUAUCACAAUUAUUUUAUAAAUUUCAUGGUACUUCUUACACGCAAUAUAAAAAUGAUAUUUUAAUCGUGAAUUUAAGAGAUAUUAUCAAUUAUGCUUUAUUAUUUAUUAUACAUCUUACAUAUUAUUUAAAUUAUUCGUUAUUACCGAAUUGCUUUUCUAAAAAUUAGAUCAUCAAUUUUUUACAAACUUUAAAAUGAAAGACUUGUUUUAUUUGUUUAACACAAUGGUGUGUUUACUAGUUGAUGUAAUAAGUUUUCUAACAAAAAAGAAGGACGGUGAGAUAUUUUUCGAAGACGUUUUAUUUUCUUCUUCCUGCAAUGGUUUUGAUAUGAAAUUUUUAACUGGUAUUUAUAAAUACACUUACAUCUCUAUCUCUCCAACAUUGUUAUCACAUAAGUAAAAAAGUUACACAUACGUAAAACAACACGUAUGCUAGGAUACACUUAUAUAUACAGGAUGUCGCGUGCCGACUGGACCCACGAUAUCCUGUGUACAUGUGUGCUAUAUAUAUUAUGUACAUAUUCAUAUAUUGCGACGGGAUAUGAAUAAUAUGACGUUUGUAAUACCACAUAAUAUACGGCAAAAAUAAUCGGUAUUAUUGUUGAGUUAUAUCCAGCGCCAUGCGAAUGCCCAGAACAAAAAAAAUGGAGUAUUAACGUUUUAAACGAUCGUUACUGUUUGUGAACCUUCUUCUUUGUAAGACUUACGACGUUGUCGGAGGUAUGUAAAGGAAGUAAGGAAAAUAAAGUCGAAUGUAACGA